rnacentral:rRNA from 1 species
UACAGAGGUCUCAAGCGUUGUUCGGAUUCAUUGGGCGUAAAGGGUGCGUAGGCGGCGCGGUAAGUCGGGUGUGAAAUCUUGGAGCUUAACUCCGAAACUGCAUUCGAUACUGCGGUGCUUGAGGACUGGAGAGGAGACUGGAAUUCAUGGUGUAGCAGUGAAAUGCGUAGAGAUCAUGAGGAAGACCAGUGGCGAAGGCGGGUCUCUGGACAGUUCCUGACACUGAGGCACGAAGGCCAGGGGAGCGAACGGG